CACGUAGGGUGCGAGCGUUGUCCGGAAUUAUUGGGCGUAAAGAGCUCGUAGGCGGUGUGUCGCGUCGGCCGUGAAAACCUGCAGCUUAACUGUGGGCUUGCGGUCGAUACGGGCAUCACUGGAGUUCGGCAGGGGAGACUGGAAUUCCUGGUGUAGCGGUGAAAUGCGCAGAUAUCGGAAGGAACACCAGUAGCGAAGGCGGUACUCUGGGCCGGAACUGACGCUGGAGGAGCGAAAGCCGUGGGGAGCGAACAGG
rnacentral:rRNA from 1 species